AUCUAUGGCUAUACCACCCUGAACAUGUCUGAUAUAGAUUGAUGCCUGAUUUCUAAAGCUAAUCUGGGUGGGGUCUGGUUAGUUCUUACAUGAAGACUGCUUGGGAAUACUAAGUGUUGUAGGUU
rnacentral:rRNA from 1 species